rnacentral:lncRNA from 1 species
UGGCUGGGGAUUUCUUACCUCCCUGCUUUGCCUGUCUUGUCUCAUAGCCUAGGACACAAGCAGAAAACAAUGACAGCUGUACAGUAAGUUCUUGUUUUAUUUUGCAGGUUUGUUUUAACGUGGAAGUGAAUCUUACAGCAUAAUGUAAAUCAAACAAGCAAAGGAAAAAAGGAUGUCCAAAGUGGUCUUCCUGGAUUUCGAUAAAGGACCAUUGCAGGAAGCCAUGGAUAUUAGUUUGUAAAUGUAC